rnacentral:rRNA from 1 species
CACGGGGGGCCUACGGGAGGCAGCAGUGGGGAAUAUUGCACAAUGGGGGAAACCCUGAUGCAGCCAUGCCGCGUGUGUGAAGAAGGCCUUCGGGUUGUAAAGCACUUUCAGUUGUGAGGAAAGUUUAGUAGUUAAUACCUGCUAGAUGUGACGUUAGCAACAGAAGAAGCACCGGCUAACUCCGUGCCAGCAGCCGCGGUAAUACGGAGGGUGCGAGCGUUAAUUGGAAUUACUGGGCGUAAAGCGCACGCAGGCGGUCUGUUAAGCUAGAUGUGAAAGCCCCGCGCUCAACGUGGGAGGGUCAUUUAGAACUGGCAGACUAGAGUCUUGGAGAGGGGAGUGGAAUUCCAGGUGUAGCGGUGAAAUGUGUAGAGAUCUGGAGGAACAUCAAUGGCGAAGGCAACUCCCUGGCCAAAGACUGACGCUCAUGUGCGAAAGUGUGGGUAGCGAACAGGAUUAGAUACCCUGGUAGUCCACACCGUAAACGCUGUCUACUAGCUGUUUGUGGAUCUAAUCCGUGAGUAGCGAAGCUAACGCGAUAAGUAGA